UAUAUAUAUAUUGAUCUUUCCGAAUUAUUAAUGUCCUUUUUAAUAAUCCUAUGACCAAGAACAAUUUACAUUACCAACCUUGUUUUAUACUUAGUAUCUCACCCUUUUAGUUCUUUUUAACGGAAAAAUACCAAUUUGCUGCCUAUGAUUGUUGCAUUUUGUGAUGGUGCAGUGAGUGUUCAAGUUUGACAUCUAUUCAAUGCUUGAAUCUCAACAUCCAUAACCUUUUUCCAAUGUGGACAAUUUAGUACUUGUUUGACACUGGUUGAUAUAUUGUUGAUAAGAUCAAUAACUUGUGAGGCCAAGGCUUAUGAUAUGGAUCUGGUUGUAAUUGAGUGAGUAUUUAAGGGUUGUAAAGGUGGAAGACAUACAUCUAAGCCUCUGAUGGGUAAACGGUUUUGAGGUUGAGUUGAAGUCAGAUUGUACGGUGUUUGGUUUGGUAAUUACAGCUAUUCAGUGGGGGUUUGGCUUGGUGAUUUUGGACUGCUACAUUGAUCAGAAGCAUUUGAGGUUGCAGGAGUAUUUGGUGUUGGUUCAAUUAAAUGAGUAUUAUGAAGAACGCUGGAGCAAUCCAUUUUCAGAAAUUUCAAAGCCAAAAUUAUCAUCUCAACACCAGAUCCAGAAAAGUUCAUCAAUAAAAAUUUUCUAUCAAUCACUGAAUCAAAGUCCAGAAUCAGCAUUUCAAGCAAAAAUUCAAAUCCAGAAUUCUACGGUAGACACCACAGAAAAACCAUCAACAGAACACGAAAUCAGAACUCCAUAAGCAAAAUCAUCACGAAAACUCAAGAUCAAGCGAAAUUACAGAUUGCUGAUACAGAUUUUACAUCCUCAAGAAUUCAACUAUCUAAUUCAAUACCUCAACAACAGUUUUCAGCAUCAACAACAGCACUUCCAGAUCUGCAAAGGGAGCUUCAGAUUCAA